CCGUGAUGUAGCGGGGCAGCGCGGGUGGCUUCCGGCCGCUACGAUGAUUGAUCGACAUCGAUCAUCGCGGG
rnacentral:tRNA from 1 species